CGAAAGCCUGACGGAGCAAUACCGCGUGAGGGAGGAAGGCUCUUGGGUUGUAAACCUCUUUUCUCAGGGAAGAAAAMAAUGACGGUACCUGAGGAAUAAGCAUCGGCUAACUCCGUGCCAGCAGCCGCGGUAAUACGGAGGAUGCAAGCGUUAUCCGGAAUGAUUGGGCGUAAAGCGUCCGCAGGUGGCAAUGUAAGUCUGCUGUUAAAGAGUCUAGCUCAACUAGAUAAAGGCAGUGGAAACUACAUAGCUAGAGUGCGUUCGGGGUAGAGGGAAUUCCUGGUGUAGCGGUGAAAUGCGUAGAUAUCAGGAAGAACACCGGUGGCGAAGGCGCUCUACUAGGCCGCAACUGACACUGAGGGACGAAAGCUAGGGGAGCGAAUGGGAUUAGAUACCCCAGUAGUCCUAGCCGUAAACGAUGGAUACUAGGCGUGGCUUGUAUCGACCCGAGCCGUGCCGGAGCUAACGCGUUAAGUAUCCCGCCUGGGGAGUACGCACGCAAGUGUGAAACUCAAAGGAAUUGACGGGGGCCCGCACAAGCGGUGGAGUAUGUGGUUUAAUUCGAUGCAACGCGAAGAACCUUACCAAGGCUUGACAUGUCGCGAAUUUCGGUGAAAGCUGAAAGUGCCUUAGGGAGCGCGAACACAGGUGGUGCAUGGCUGUCGUCAGCUCGUGUCGUGAGAUGUUGGGUUAAGUCCCGCAACGAGCGCAACCCUCGUUUCUAGUUGCCAGCAAUAAGAUGGGAACUCUAGAGAGACUGCCGGUGACAAACCGGAGGAAGGUGGGGAUGACGUCAAGUCAGCAUGCCCCUUACGCCUUGGGCUACACACGUACUACAAUGCUACGGACAAAGGGCAGCUACACAGCGAUGUGAUGCAAAUCUCRUAAACCGUAGCUCAGUUCAGAUCGAAGGCUGCAACUCGCCUUCGUGAAGGAGGAAUCGCUAGUAAUUGCAGGUCAGCAUACUGCAGUGAAUUCGUUCCCGGGCCUUGUACACACCGCCCGUCACACCAUGGAAGUCGGUCACGCCCGAAGUCAUUACCCCAA
rnacentral:rRNA from 1 species